UACAGGAAGAUGUGUUUAUUGUGGCAAAUGUUCACCUGACUACCAGCAUCCAUAUGGAUUGGUUUAAACGUAUAUAUGAAUAUGGUCUUCAAAUCUCAAAGACCCUGAUCUGCACAGAAGGGUGGACUAAACUUGUCAUGAAUGUGCUUAUUCUGACCUGAAGCAGUGAUGAAGAGGUAAUCACAAGACCUCCUUUAGGAUCAUGGGUUGAAGGAUUUUCCUGCCAGAAUCCACGUUACGGAUGGGCUGAUCUCUGGUUUCUUACCCUGUUUUCUCACCUAAAGAAUUAUAAUGAGGUAGAGUGAAUGAGAUCUAUGGGGAAAGCAGUGGACCUAGAGACUAAAGUUCCCAUAAUGACUUUAAUCAUAUAGUCUGGCAAUGGAGCAGGUUACUGAAAGGCAACAAACUCACUGGUCAAUGUCGGUGUCACUUUUCUGGGAGCAGGACUUUUUGAGCAUCAAGGAGCUAAUUCUAUCAGCCUGCUGGAAAAGCGUUAAGUGCAUUAACUCCUUGUCAAUCACAUUUUUAGCAUGCUGGCCAAAUUAUUAUUAUUUGGCACAAGACAUUCUACUGAAUCUUAUUUGUAUGGUAUCCUUAUCUGUGUACCUUAUAUGACUAAUGACGAUUGUUUAUGGAGAGAUGCCUGUCCAAUUAUUUUUGAAGGAACACAAGAAUGCAGAAUGACUGGAAGCAUCAGGUUUUUGCCAGAGAAUGCCUCAGGUUUUUUGCAGGUGAUACUCCACUAAGUCCUGUGAAAGGAGAAUUAAGCGAAAUAAUUCCUCAAAAUGCAACAAAAGAGAAGCAGCUUAAUGUGAUAUGAAAAGCCUGAGGGUGAUUGCAAACAAAAGCCAACAGUGUCCAGGAUGCUGAAUAUAACAAAAGACAAGGUUCCUGCCACAAGAGAUUAUUAUCUAAACAGUCAAGACAAACAACAGACAAAGCAGACAGCAGCAUAUGACUGUGACCAAAUUCACCACUGUAUUCACACCCUAUGGACUACUGUAAUAAUCUUUGAACAAUAUAUGCCAUGUGAGGUAUCAUUUGAAAACUAAUAACUCACCGGUCAAUAAUAUCAUGGUGAAAUGUGUGUAGCAAGAUUAUAUGUAACUGAAAUGUGCUUACCAGAUAAGUCUGGAGAGGGGGUAAAGACAAUGGACAAGCUAAUGCAUCUAGCCAGAUGACAAAGUUGAUUGGCACUCACUUGUCAAGUGGCCAUUCUUUGGCAAUGAAAGUGGGGCAGGAACAGAUCCAUCUGCAUUUUAGCAAAUAACAACGUGGAACUUCUUUCACCAUGAGACUCCAUGUCUCUGUCCUCAAAGUGGGAAUGAACUUUGUCUAGGGGUAACUCUCAGAAAAAUGCAUUUCAAAGGGUGACUGGACUAUAAAAGUGAGGGGCAAAUACACCCUAGGUGUUCUCUCUUUCACUCAAGAGGACAAAGGAAUCAGCCUUAUGACUUUGGGAGAAAAUCCUGGCCAGAGAAUUUGGUCAGCCUUGUUGCUGGGCACAUGUGAUAAGGAUUUUACCUUGAACCAGUUUUUAGUUACUAGAAAGCAUUUUAUCUUUAUUUCUCUUGUAACCAUUUCUGACUUCAGACCCUUGUACUCUUACUCACUUAAAAUCUCUCUUUGUAGUCAAAUAAACAUUUUUAUUUUUUUAAUCAAAAAUAAUCCAAUGUUGUUUUUAAACUGAAUUGUUUGGUAAUUCCAAUUAAAGUGGCAAACUGUUCUAUCUUGACCCCUUGCAGGGGCAACAGACUUCUAAUAUCUGAACUGUCCAGGAGAGGGCUGGAACAAACAUUUUGGGGAAAUUUAGAGGUUGGGAGUGUGUUGGAGUCACCAUGUAAGUGGUACCCAAGGCUGGUAGAAGCCAGAGUGUGACUGAAGUGUAGCUGGCAGGCUGAAGCUACAAACAGACACUCAGGGAGUGACCUGCAUGCUGUUUGUGAGGGGCCAGAUUGCAGGGCAGAUGGUGACCCAACCACCUCACUGGUCUGGAUUGCACCCCAUUAUGUGACAAUAUGUGUUUGUGUGUGUCACUCAGCAUUAAUGUUCCCUUUACAUUUUUUGUGAAUAGAACCAUAAGUGGUGUGUGAAGGCACUCUUGAAACCUUCAGGCAAUUUAUUGCUCUAAAAUCCACAAGCACCAUUCCUUUGAACAGCAAUAGGAGUUCUAUUAUGGAUUAAGGACAAUAUGUAUCCAUAAAUGUAAAAUGUACAUGCCCUCAAAACACUCUCAUGCCCUCCUGACUGCUAAAAUUAAAUCAUCACCAAUAAGGAGCUGAAACUCCCUGCCUUUUUUUCUGGCGUAUGGAUGGUGAGAUUCUGUGCAUUAAAAAAGGUAACCAUUUAUAUCACUGUUGUUACCACUGUUACAAAAUUACCAUAAAUCUCGUACAAAGUGUCAUCUUCUUAGUGUACACGCAACAUGCCUCCCAUGGCACAUGACCAGGAUACAUAAUCGAAUUUGGUCCACUUUUUGGAUCAUUAGCUUCCCCAGCCUGGGCUGGGAACUGACAGGGAGCAUGAUAUGAAUGCUGAUCCAUGCCCCACAAAAUGUGUCAUGUAAGGUAUUGAUGGAAAAGUGAUGAAUUGCUAAGUAUGAUUAUCUUGUGUAUAUGUAUGUAUCAUCUUUGUAUCUGAAGUGAUGAGUAUUGGCUAUGGACUUGUAGCUUAAGCAUGUGUUGAAUUCCUGGGUGACACCCCCCAGACAGACAGUGAUGUGUUGAUGGCCCAGUAGGACACUCCACUCUCAUAAUGGGCCACUGAAAAAUCUUAUCCCAUGCAGUAGGUCUUCCUACAGAUACUUCAGACAGCAAGGAGCCAAUGGCUACUCCCCGUGAUUCAGCAAAACAUGUAAGGACAUGUGAUAUGCUCAUGUGACCCUGAACUCCAUCUUGGGCCAGCAACUUUCCAAACACAGGUGAUGUGAGCUUUAUUUGGGACAGUAAAUUUCCAGGCACAUGGCAGAGGAUAUAAAAGUCAUCUGAGAUGCCUUCAUUUUGCCUCUUUCCUGCUCUAAUUCUCUGGACUGUGGAUUUACAACUGAAAGGAGUAUCUUGAACUCUGACUGAGGACCUUCCAAUUUUUUGGAAGUUAUCAGAGCGACUUUGCAAGCCAGCAGUGUAUUCAAUCACUCCUACAAAGCUGAUAUAAGGACUUUGCAGGCAUUUGUAUGUAUAUGAUCUAUUAACUAUUUGUAACUCUCUUCUUUUAUUAAUAAGUCUUUAGUUAGUUACUGAAGAUUGGCUGACAGCAUGAUAUUUGGAUAAGAUCUGAGAUACAUAUUGAACUGGGAUAAGUGUCUGAUCCUUUGGCAUUAGAAAUAACGCCACACAUGGUGUGCCUGCUCUGUUUCCUGCAGUCUUCUCUGAGUGUGGCAUUCUCGGUGUGGUCCAUCCCAGGUAUCUAGUCACAGAUGGAUGCAUUUGUUUUUCCUGUUUGUCCCGCAUAUUUGGUGACACGGUCAUGCUCUCCAGUUUCUCAUGCUCUCUCUUCCUUCAUUUUCUGCUGUGGAGAAGGAAGCCUUAUCCUUAGAGAAGGGGCCAAAGACAGGUGGUUGGGCGAAGGGGCUGCUGCAGCCCUUAGGAAAACCUGCAUUUAUGAGGGAGCUUAUCUUUCUCCCAGAAAGGGAAGAAGGAAAAGGGUCUCUUUCUUCUCUCUCUACAUCCCACCAGCCCUUAAGGGUAGUGGGGUGUAAAUUCCAAGUUCUUCUCCCCUCGUGGUUGGCUGGUAUGAGCACAAAAGUAUUUUGACAGAAGAUUCAAGGGGGAAACAAAAUUUCAGCUGUGGUCGAGCACGUUUUCAGCAUUUUGAUUUACUUUGCAAAGUGCCUCCUAUGAAUGUUCAUGGACCAUUAUCUCUACUCUUAUAAAUUUGUUUAAACAAAACACACCCAAAUUAAGAGCAAGUUUUGAUCCUAAUCUCUAUUUUGCUGUUGGCCUUUCCCCCUAGGAUGGAUUAAAUCAAAACUGCAGAUCUGAACACCCCCAAAACUUUGGAUCCAGCACCACACUUGGUUACGUCAUUUCUUGUGUCAAUAUUGUCUUACAUCUCUUUUCGAACCUGAUAAACUAGUAGGACACAACAGCGCAGAAGAAAAGGAUAUGUAGUGAUAGCAGCAGUGAAGUAAAAAACAGAUGACUGUCUAGGUGUUUGUGCUGGAAUGGGAUAUGUCCAAGUCUUGCACCAUAAAGUAUGGUUAAUAAACCAGUAGCACUACAUGCAUAUCCUAUGACCGUCUAAGUGUACAAACUGGGAUGGGCUGCCUGUGUUGUUUUCAGAUUGGUCAUUCUGUUCAAUAUGAGUGCUUAGCACCAUACACGGAACAGCUGCUGACUUCAAUGGGCCCUUUAAUCCUAUGCAUGAAUGUAUCCCUUUGUACUGUAAAUUCCAAGAUUUAUUUAAUCAGAUCUGCGACACAUGCAUCAUGAGACACGAAUGGAAUAAUUU